CCAGGAGACAGACGGGGCCGGCCGCAGUGUGCGGGCGACGGGCAGCUGAGCACUCCGGCUGAGCGCCUCAUCUCGCCUCACUGGGCUGGGGCUCCCGCGGCUCUGGAGGUUCCCAAGGAGCCCCAGCUGGGUGGGAGGCUUCUUCUCAGCGUGUCUGAGGGGGUCGCUGAGAUCAACCUCAAUGCAUACCCUCAGGGAAAAAAACAACAACCAAAAAACCCCAACACCACAGAACACAAAAAACCCACUAGGGUGUUGCUGGAGAAGGAGGGUUUCCCCGUGCUUAAGGACUAAACUGGCAGGGACAGCGCUUGGCACUGGCGGGUCCUGCGGAGCUUUCCCGAGGCGCCUUAUAUGGCGGGGGAGGGGGACGCCCCGGGCACGGCUGCGAGCGCCGAUCCCAAACCCAGGGGAGCGUGUGCGUGGGGGGUCGCUUUGUGUUACACACGCUUGUGUCAUUCUAGGGAACAGAGGGAGAGGCCGCCGGAGGAGACGGGGGAUCUCCCAGGAUAGACAGUCCCGCCAGAAGGAAGAGCGAUAGCAUCCUUUCCGGCCACAACAGGUAAAUCGUAUUUGGCCACUACAGGUUGAAGUUGUGUUGUUGUUGUUGGUUUGAGUUUUUGUUUGGAUUUAUGGUUUGGUUUGGGGUGGGUUUUUUUGUGUCUUUGUGGGAGGUUUUAGUACAAUUUUUUUUUCAUUCUCCCUCUUUUUCCCUCCUCUCGGCGUUUUCUGAAUGGCAUGGACCUGACCAAGGGGAGGCGGCUAUUGGCAGCUCGGGGAGCGCCGCCGCCCUGUCCCCAAGCCAGCUGUCUGUCCCACAACGGGGGGACGGAGAUAACCCGGAGACGCGGAGUGCGCGUCCCGCCCGCUGCCCCUCCCUCGUCCCUCGCGCAGCUCUGCCGCAGCCCCGCGGAACUCUGCGGGCCCUUCGCUGCCGGCCACCGCGGGAAAUGCCACGGGAGAAGACACUUCCCCUCUGAAGAUCUGUGCGCGACUUCCAUGAAGAAAUGGAAGGGAGUAAAGCCGAGGGUGACACAGCUGUAAAGUGACUCGGUUUUCACCCUGGGGAGACAGGGAACUCUCCUGAAACAGGGGAAGAAAAAACAAGACACCGCUCCUGCCCCCCUCCCGCGAUCCCCCCGCCUCUUCGGAGCCUGAGCAACGACAAACUGAUUAAUCUUCCCAGGUCGCCCUCGCAAUCCCCGAGGGCCGCCAUCCGCUUAGCCGCCAUCCGCGGUCCGCGAACGUGCAAAUCCCCCGACUGCGGGGGCUCCGCUGCAGCCCAGGGAGGAGGAGGAAGGGCAGGUCGCCGGCGGCACUAUUUAGAACCACCGCCGCAACACUACUCCCAUUUGAGGCUGCAGGAACAGAGCCAAGAGGGAGAUCACCGGGCGCUUGGUUUUCUUUGGGUGUUUUCAGAUCUGUACAAACACUGGGCCUGCCGGUUUUUAUAAACAACUUUUGGGACGCAGUCAAUCAAUCAUACUGGCAAGCAAACAGACCAGGAGCCUAGGAUAUAUACAAGGCAUAAACACAUACAUAUAAACUUUGUCUUCUUUGGAGUAGUUAGUUUUUUUUUUUCUAUAAGCCUUUCUAAGAGAAACCCUUUCUAUAAAGAUUCUGACAAAGUCAGGAAAUCACAGUGAAAAAGUAGGAGGUAUUGUUAGGCAGUUAUGUUACAUUGUAUGCUUUAAUACCAGCAAGGAAAAUAUUGGAAAAGAGAAAGAAAAAAGCAUCUAACCAACUUGAAAACUUAAAAAAAAUAUUAUGCUUACAGUCAGAGAGACAAUUUCAAGAGUACGUGGCCAAAAAACAUGAAACGUGGUAAUUUUAAAAUACAAUGCAAUAGAUACAUCUGGAAAAGACAUGAGUUUACCAGAUUUGCUAGUCAGCAAAGUAUUCUUUAUGUUGCAGUCAUUUCUAGCCUUACUUUUUAAUUUGAAACAUAUUUGUAUCCAGGGAUAGGUUCUUGGGAAUGCACUGUGUUGUUUUGGUUUGGUUUUUUAAAUGAUCUUUUGAUAAUAAGAGCCCUGCCCAGCAUGGAGUUUGUGCCCUCUCUUUCUGAGUCUUUCGCUUGCAAAAGGAUACGAGCGAACGAGGAGUCCAUAGCACAAAGAAUGCAAUAGAUCUGAACAUCCCAGUAAUGCAGAAAGAACAGUUAGGGUAGGAAAAGCUGAUCAAGUGUCAGGACUUAGAAGAUCUUAUUCUGUGCUGGUGUAAAUUAGGAGACUAACAGAUAUAGAAGACUAGUUGGUGCUGCAGAAACAGUGUGUUGUUCUUAAUCUCCCCUGCCAUGAUCUGAAACUGUGGCCCUUUCUGGAUAGUGAGAUUGAGGAAAGCCUAGGGAAUGAUGCUCAGAGAGGAGAAGCUGUGCUCUGGCAGAGAGCAUCAAGAGAAGCUUUUCCCAACUGGUGAAACCUUCCAAACAAGCUUUUAUAAUUGAGGACCAGUGUUGGAUUUGCUUAGGAAAGACUUUGUGACUGCAUCGCUUCUAUGGAACCAUCAAAAAGAAUAAUUUUCUCUUUUUGAACUUAUUGCAUUUGUUGUGCAAGUUUUCCUACCAAGAAUAAACUUGGUAUUUGGUAAUUUCACUCCAUGUUUGUCAUCUGUUAAAACAAAUCCUAUAAGGAGCCUAAGCCAAAUACUACUCAUGUCAGGAAAGUGGGUUUUGGUGCUGUCCUUCCAAGCUGACUGGGUCUUAGAGACAUAAAGAGUAGGGAAGUUGUUUCAUUGGCUUCUCAGAAAGAUGUGUAUGGUCAGCAGAAUAGGGACUGGGCUUACAUCUAAGAUCCCCUUUUUAACGACCUGUGUUUAAAACGGAUUGGAUUACUUGCUUGCUUAAAGGCAGUUCCAUUUUCAUAUAACAAUUUAUACUUAUCAUCAUGUAAGUGAAAGCUUUAGCAAUCAAAGCUUUAUUCUUGCGGACCCGAGGUAUUAUUUUCCACAGAAAUGUAUUAUGGAGUCCUUUCACAGAAACUUGUCUUGAUUUGUGAUGUAUAAGACUGACACAGUGAGUGAUAAAUGUAUUAAAUGACAAUUUCCAGUUAAAAUAGUACAUGAAAUACAUAGUCAUUAAAAUAGUAUCUGAAGACUCUGCAAAUACCUAAUAAUUUUGAUGUAAGUGAUUUUAAUGUUAUGGAAAAACUGAAAGCUCACGUACAUUUUUAUCCUCGAAGAUUCAGUCUUUCCCCCUCUUCCCCCAAGAGAAAUUAUUAUUAAGACUGAUAUAAGCAAGCUUUUCUGGAAAGAAAGAAAAUGAAAAAGGAGGAAAGGGGAGAGAAUUAUACAAUACACAUACCUAACAGUAUAAACAACUCCACCCCUCAUCCUCCAACCUGGCUUUCUUCAGCCUUUUGAGCAUUUUUUCUAAAAUUUGUGAUAUGGCAAGUGACAAAUGUCUUUCCGGAAGAUCUGACAAUGCUACUGACUCACCAAAGACUGUUUGCGAGAAGUGCUGGCCAGAGCAGACAGGUUACUAUUCAUCAGCCUCUUAAAACACAAAUUCUUCUUUGCUGCAAUAUGGGUACAUCUAUACACUGAAAACUGGCUAUGAAGGGAGUGAAACCAAAUGGACACUUCAAUCAUUGCUUGAGAAGAUUAGAUUUUACUAAAACUGAGAUGCCUUUUCUUUUAGAUCAAUAUUCUGCCAUACCUAUACAGGUGGGACUCUGCUUUUUGUUUUACAGAUCUUCUAUGCAUCACGGGCAUUGAAUUUUACAAUUUCUCUUUUUUCUGAGGUUAAAUGCUUUCUGGCACUACUUGUAUUAAGUAUGACUUACACUACUUGUAGUAAGCAUAAACACUCCAAAGAGUCAACCUGCUUUUUCUUCUCUUCUUUAUUGAGAAUAGAUUAUCCCAAAAGAUUUGAGAAUACUGCUAUGUUUCAAUUGAUAACACAGUGACGUUUAUCAGCUUAAACAGUGUGUUGAGACAAUGGAUCUGUGAGAAGGUGAGGCAUUAAAGAUAAUUCUAAGCUUUUGCUUCUUCCAAAUCUCAAUAACAUCCUGACUCUACUCCUUUGAGUUACUGAUUUGCUUUUGAAAGCAGUGGGACAACAAUUUUACUAGGGUGUAACUUGUUAGCUGUCUUGUAAGGAUAAUGCAGAUAAGCUUCUCCAAGUACUAUCUCAUAUUCUGUGUAAAAUUCUUCUUAGUUCAAGUAUGUAGCGAACAACUUCUAAAAUAGACUAAAGAUCAUCAAUCAACAUUCAUUAAAUUAAUUUGAGGAUGAUUUUGGAAUGGAUUGACAUAAAACUAUGAUUGGCAACAUGGGUUUCCUUUUCUGUUCCUUUUGUAUAAUAGAACAACUGUCUGUUCUUAGAAAAUAUUGAUACUGAGAAUACAUUUUAACUGCUAAUUUCUCUUUUUUCCGUUAUUUAACCUCUGUUAAGAAAUUAGAGAGAACAUUUUAUAAUUUAAAAAUAACAAAACUACAUGCAGUCUAUUUACUAAUUUGGUGGAAGAGGAGUAGACUGCAAUGGAAGACUGCUCAGCCUCCCUGUGGACAGCUGUGGAGAGGUGAAGAAGUGUUGGGCAGGGCAGGAAGGCUGUUAUGUUACUGCAGGAAAGAGGGAGGAUGAGGUCUGAACAAGUCUGGGACCAGGUAUCCUCUUACAAAAACCACUAAUCUCACCUCUUUAAAACGUCUGUCUUCAUCUGCAUUAAAACCAACAACAUUUUAGUUUUAAUGAAAAAUCUUAUCAAAGAACAUUUCUUCCCUUGGCUCUUUCCGUUUUACUAACUUGAAUCUUUAGACUCAGAUCAUAAAUCUUGAUUUAUGUUCGACAAUUUAUGAUUUUAAAUGAAAUCUAUUUUAUAUAGGAAAUCAGAACAUCAGUCUAUGUACCAUUUAAAAAUCCAAAUUAGGCUUGUAAGUGCUGUGAUUUUCAGUAUACCUCAUGCAGCACUAUGUACACUGUGAACACUUAAUAGCAAGAAAGGGAAAUCAUAUACUAAUGUAUUUACUUUUAAAAAGUUGAAAAAGAAUUAAACAAAAGCUGAUUACUAAUCAUGUGACUUCCAUAUUUUAUUACAUAUCUAAACCUUAUAUAUAGGGAAAAAAGAUUCAGGCAUUUUUAUUAUAUUUUUGCAGUGAUAAAUGAACGUUGAGUAUUUAUUCUAAAUUUCUCUGCUAUGCCAAGGGAAAAACCAAACCAAACCAAAAAAAGUCCAGCUUUUGCUAGUACAAAAUUAGAAAUGGCACUGUCAGACUUGACAGCAUGGAGCAGUAGCAAAUACAUUUAUUGAUAUAAAUUCCUAAGUGGAAUAUAGAAACAAGAAUUACACUUAAUGUAAAAAAAUACAUCAUCUUGAUUUUGACUAAGAAGCACACUGAGAGAUGCACUUCUCCAGCACUGCUAAUGCAGUUCUGUGAUUUUCUUGCUUAUUUUUUUACGCAGGUGAUUCAUGCUGCCUGAAGGCAAGUAAACUUCAGAAGUUCCCCAGUUAUAAAAAUAUAUUUCAAUUCAAUUGUGUUGCAUGUAAUGAAGACAAUUAGUCUGAAUUCUGGAUAGGAAGACAGGGAAACUGCAGUUGUGAAAAUAGUUUUUUUAACACACAAGAAAUAGCUAAGAUAAAAGUCAUGCAAAGAAUAAGUGUGCCAUUGUGGCUUAUGAGGAAUAUGUUCUGCCUAGUGUAGUAGAGCAGUACUAAGUCUUUUUCACCAUCUACAUCACUAUGAAACCUCACAGGAUUUUUGGCCCGCUGAGUUAAUUGAUAGAACUGGUGUAUAAAGGGGUCCACAGGAGUGAAUGCAAGGUCAGUUUGUUGAUACAGCGUUAUGUGACUGCAGAAGGACUUUUGCAGCACAGGCAGGAAUGUGUUUCCUUGGAAGGGGAAGGCUGCUUUUGAAAUUAAAAUAGUCUUUUCAGUUUUUGUGUAUUUCAUGUGUUAAGGAGAACAUAAUGCUCAAGCUGUAGACCAACAGAACAAAUUUCCACAAGGAAAGCAAAAAAGGCAAAUUGUCAAUAAUUUUCAAUAUCUACCUUACAUUUCAAAAUAAUUACUCAUUUUCUUAUGUUAUGGUCCUGUAUGAAAAGUACUGUGAACUUUUCAGAUUCUGGCACACAUGGGAACACAGAUGCAUUUGCCUUGAGUCCAACAGAGCAUUCCUAGCAACCUAUUGGCGUGUAGUGCUCAAAGGAUGAGAUCCUCCUAAUGAAAUGUAGAUGGUCUUUCUCCAUAAAAACUUAGCUAAACAAGUUUUGAUAUAUAUUUUUCACUGUUAAAGAAUUUCUCCUCUGCAUGGAUUAUAGUAUUUUCCAUAAGGUUAAUAAUAAAGGCUGUGUUUGCUCUGAAAACUUCAGUUUACACUGAUAUUCACUGUCAGAAACAGACUAUUGAAGUAAUGAAUGAGGUUCACUUCCUCAGAAUGUGUAAAUGUCCCAACUUACAGUUAAACUUUCAACAGCUGAAAGACAAUACCAUUGACAUGUAUCUGGCACUAGUUACUCAGGUUUAUUUUUUCCUGGAAAGCAGUUUAGGGCGACAGAGUGGCGUCCGGGUUUCCCAGGUUGUUGUGCUGACAAACUGCAGUGGUGGUAAAGGCAGGGAGUCUGACAAAAUCUCAUUAAUCAUUUUAAAUUAAAUCCAACAUUCCUCUCCAACACUGCCAAGAAGAAAGCUAACUUUAACAAAUGAAUACUCUCUCUGAAAAGAACUGUUAUCCUGACCAUGUUGCUUUCACGUAAAUAAGCUUGAUUUUUUUUUAGGUACACAUACUCUAUUAAUAAGCAGCAUUUUUAAGCUUAAAAAAUAAUGCAUUUGCUGCAUUAUUAGGAAUCUGAAAAAUACUUUUUGCUCAUUUUCUGUAUUAGAUACUAUGAGUGAACCACAUAGCUAAAAAUUAGUGCCUCUUCCUUCUUUCAAUGAAUUGCAGUUUUUUGCUUUUGUAAAAUUGUAAAUACAGAAAGUUCCUUUUUAAUUUAAGUAAAUUUCACAUAUGAAACAGAAAUAUUCUGUGUAAAGAUUUUCUAAUCCAUCUUUUCUCUAAGCCUAUUUAUAUGAAUAAGAAAGGAAAACUGCAAAUCUACUAACAUUAUGCCAGCAAAAACAGAGGUGAUGAAGGAGCAAUGUGAUCUCUUUAAAGUUUCUUACAUACACAUUUCUGAAACCAAUCCUAGAUAUUUGGGUAUGAUUUAAUUAUGCAUAUUGUAUUGCAAGUCUGAACUUUAACAUCUGAUAAAUAAUAUCAGAAUAUCAUCUAAAACUUUAUCCUAUUAAAAUCAUUAUUACAUGUAGAUUAUAAAAGUUUGGAUAUUAUUUCUCUUUAAGGCAAAAUGAAACCAUAACGUGCCUAUGGGAGACACAGGAAAUACUUUAAGUCUGUUCUUUUUCCAUUUUAAUAGUGCUUUUGAGCUUUGUUACUCAAAAGGGCAGAUCUUACAAUGGCAGAGAACAAGUCAUCAGCCUUAAUGUUUAUGAGAUCUGAUACAACCAUGAAGUACUUGAAAAAAAUCCCCAUCCAAUAGAAGUCAAGUAAACUCGACUUUUCUAAAUACUUAUUAUUGUUAUUUUGACAUUUUAACAUGAUCAAGUAGGUAUACCUCAAUUUUGUUUAAGUACUUAAAAUAAUUUAAUACUUGUUUUCCAAAAACAGAAAUAUAAACAAAUAGUGAACAAUGACAAUGACAGAAAACAAAAUUAUUACCACUUCAAAAAAGAGCAAUUCCUGUUGGCAAUUUUUAUCUAAAGAACAUUAAUAAACUGCAGAAUACUGGAGAGGAAACAGUAACAUUUAUUUGCCCAGCUAGUCAGUUUAUUUUCCUAAAGCUGUAUUUUUGAACUGUUUAUAGUUUUUCUUUUUCCAAUGUGGAGGGUGAAAGGGAAAGGUUGAACAGAACAAAUCGAAACUUUUUUCCUGAAUGCGAUAUUCUUGCUCACUUCAAAAUUGACAGACAUAUCUCUAACUUACAUUUGUUUGGGCUUUUGUAUGUUGAAGUUUAAAUUUAAUUUAAAUUUUAAAAAGUCAAAGCUGUAUAAACGUGUUGUUUAGAGUUUGAAUGGAAAGUAUUCUAGACCCAAAUAGAGUCUGAGAAAAUGUAUAAUAUCAGAUACUGCCUAUAACUAUCAUAUGAAUAUGCAAUAUAUGCCAUAUUCCUUCACUAAAUACAAUGAGAGUCUGAGAAUUUAAUACAUGCAACAAUGAGCUCUAUUUGUGUGACACUUUACAUGGACACAGGUAGACACACUUCCCCUACAUGAACACAGAACAGUUGUCCUUCUGUCACAUAACUUCUGUAUAUACUGAAGUUAGCAAAAUUUCAGAAAUGGUUAUUCAGAACGAUUUCAGUGUCUUUUAGGACCAGAAUAGCCAGUGUUUGCAGGGCAAUGGGCUGCAGGCUCAUUUCUUCCUUCGGUGCUGUGUACAGUCUGUACACUUAGCAUUAAGGCAACACCACAUGGCCAAAGUUCAAAGGACAUGCAGUGGUGGAAUCACAAUAGCUUGGGAAUCUUUGCAGUUAUAGGUUGAUCGUGCUCAUGUAAUCAGGCUUGGAAUCCUCUACCUAAGUCUUCUGAAGUGCUUGAUCAAGUAGCUAUUUCCACAUCAAAUCAUUUAGUGACACCUGGAUCAAUUAAGUAUCUAUCAUUAUUUUCUUUUGCAAUGUGCAUUGAAGAAGACACUGCCCAAAACUCAGUUUUGUAAAGGGUUUUUGGAGGAUGACUAAGAGAAUUUUUCUCACUUUGUAAGAGUACUAUUACACCUGCUUAUGACUAUUUUUAACUUUUAAGACAGAAAAUUGCCUAAUUUCACAUAAGGUCCAGAUUAUUAAAAUGCAAAAAAUUACUUCU